rnacentral:rRNA from 1 species
AUUGAACGCUGGCGGCAGGCCUAACACAUGCAAGUCGAGCGGAGCGGCAGACGGGUGAGUAAUGCCUAGGAAUCUGCCUGGUAGUGGGGGAGAACGUCCGGAAACGGGCGAUAAUACCGCAUACUAUCAGAUGAGCCUAGGUCGGAUUAGCUAGUUGGUGGGGUCAAGGCCUACCAAGGCGACGAUACGUAACUGGUCUGAGAGGAUGAGCAGUCACACGGGAACUGAGAAACGGUCCAGCGUGCUACGGUAGGCAGCAGUGGGGAAUAUUGGACAAUGGGCGAAAGCCGGAUCCAGCCAGGCGGCGUGUGUGAAGAAGGUCUGCGGAUUGUAAAGCACUUUAAGUUGGGAGGCGUUACCAACAGAAUAAGCACCGGCUAACUUCGUGCCAGCAGCCGCGGUAAUAC